rnacentral:lncRNA from 1 species
GCACAUGGCGUACUACAUCCGGGCUCUGUGUUAGAGCUACCAUAAAUGGCAGAGUGGUGCGGCGAGCCACUUAUUCUGGGUGUUUCAGCCCUACCCGCUAUUCCGAACGCACCAGUUCUACCUGGUAUUCUGAACGUUCCAGUUCUACCUCCUCACCUGAACUUGACAUUUCCACCCUCUCAAGUGAAGGUUCUAGUUCAACCACCUCUUCUGAACGUUUCAGUUCAACCCCCUCCUGUGACGCUUCCCGUUGAACUCCCUCUUGUGAGCGUUCCAGUUCGAAGCUCUCUUCUGAACGUUUUGGUUCGACCUCCUCCUCUGAAAGUUUCGGUUCAACCGCCUCCCAUGCGCGUUCCAGUCCAUCCGCCUCCUCUGUACGUUUCAGUUCAUCCGCCUCUUCUGAACGUUUCAGUUCAACCCCCUCUUGUGAAAGUUCCAGUUCAACCACCUCUAGUGAAAGUUUCACUUCAACCUCCUCUUCUGAAGGUUGCACUUGAACGCUGGAACCUUCGGAACGUUACAGUUCAACCACCUGUUGCGGAAGUUACAAUUCGGCCCCCUCGUCUGAACGUUUCGGCACUGCCCCCUCGUCUGCAAGUUCCAGUUCCACCGCGUUUUCGAAACGAUCCAGUUGAAUCCGCCUGUUCAGGAAGUUUCAGUUCAAGCCCCUCUUCUGACCUUUCCAGUUGAGCCGCCUCUUCUGAACGUUUCAGUUCAGAUGCCUCGUGUGAACGUCUCAGUUCGACCGCCUUUUUUGAAAGUUUCAUUUCAACCACCUCGCCUGAGCGUUUUAUUUCAAACCCCAUGGCCGAGGGUUCCCAAUCCACCACUUCUUUUGAAUGUUCCGACUGCAUCAACAUACCGAACUUUUCGGUACCACUCAAUUUCCUGAAGGUUUUCGGUUCACCCGUGGAAGCUGGCCGCUGCUUCGCGCCUCCAUUCAGGAUACGCGGCGGAUACCCUUGCCCAUGGUGCCACGAGGGAUUUGGAUGGUUAUCCCAUCCUGGCUCCGUUCAUAUGGCUGACCAUGUAGGUGGAAUCGAGGUGGCAAAGUCUUGGAAGACGGUGCUUGUGCCUUUGAAAAUGGCUUGGAACGGAUUCAUCCGACGACAUAUGGAGGGGAUCUUGCCGACCAGCAACAAAUCAACGGAGGAGAAAUCAGCCAAUUUGCUUAGCAUACGCAACCUGAAUUGUUUUAAUCUCAGAACAAAUUGUCAUACCGUCUCACGGUGAAUCAGUCUUGUAGACCACACGAUGAAAUAAACAUCAAUUCGUGGGACU